GGGAGGGGGACGGAGAGGGUGCGCUCGGCGGCCAUGUUGGUGGUGUGGGUUCGCCGUUAGCUCGGAGGAGCGGCCGGGAAAUCGGAUUAAAAUGUCGGCAAGGGGAGGGCGGGAGCUGAAUACUCAGGGGCGAAUGCGUGGCUAGGCCUCUGUCCUGUACGAGAUGGUGCAAUGUUCCUGCCCUUCAUCGAUGGAAGAUAUACUGAUGCUGAGGAAAUGGAAUGCAACUGUCCCUCCCCUGCCUCUCUUUUUUUAAGCUGCAGGUACCCAUGCUCAGAAUUGAGCCAACACUCUGCCUUCUCCCUCCUCCUACAAAACUACCAGUUGGGAUUGAUGUAGGGGGUGCACUUCCGGCCUUAAUUUUAGCUGGAGUCAAAUAAAAAUAUUGCCAUGUUGGUAACUGAAGAAAAGGUAAAUGAUGUGGUGUAUGUUGUUGGAUCAAAAUGGCAAAAAUGUCUUACCCCUCAUGCUUCCUCUUUCAGAGGAAUGCAGAUGUUACAAAAAGCAGUUUUACCAAGUGCCGCAUUCUUUUUCUAGUUUCUUCACUGCCUGAGUCAGUAUCUGCUGGAAUAAUUUGUGCUAAGGAGGAGAAAUUAGGGUUUUGUUUUUUGAGAUGGUUGGGGAUAUAGAAUUGCAGAAGAACAGCUGUCUAAACUCUUCAAAUUAAAUCUGGCCUAGAUCUGUGCAGCUGGAACCUCUUCAUAUUAAGCAAAAGUGGUAAGUAUUUUGAUGGAGUACUUAAAUAAUGUUUGAUUUUCCUUCUGUGAAAGACUGUUCUUUGUUAUCUGCUAACAUGUCAGAGAUGAAUCAGCCUGCUUUUUCAUCUUUACGACAGACUUCCUGACCAGCAAACAGCGAAGUGUGGUGGCCAGAUUCUAGAAACAACUUUCUUCAAUGGAUGAUGUGUGGGAAGCCUGCUUUGUACACCUUCACUGCUGUCCCCUAUUUUUAGGAAUAUACAAUUUACUUUGAUUCCAAUGUUUUCUUUGCCUAAAGAAAAUAGGUUUCCUCUUCCUACGAAGACAUAGAAGGUUGAUGCUGGUCACAGCAGUUGCCAGGGAAGGCCAAUUUAAACAAAGCAGGGGGCAAUUGCAAUAUCAAGUUGCCUUGUAAGUCUGGUGCAUGAAAAGUGAUACAACAAAAUCUAUUCUAUAUUACAUAAUUCACUUUUUCCCCCACCAGUGUGGAACUUUCCAAUCUUUGUUACUGUCAGUCUGCAGCCAUCUGGUGAUGUUCAUUAAUCACAAUUUGCCAUAGCCUUCAGAAGUUUCACUUAUACAUGUCACACUGGAUCUGUAAAGUGAUUUUCUAGAAUUUCUAUGUUUUAAAUCAUUAAGGAUAUAGUUCCAAGUUACACAACAUGCUCACACUAGUGCUCUGUAGUGUAGCAGGAGAUGGUGCUGCAGUAGUGGAAGUGCUGUUACUUUGGAUAACAUGGUAAAAGUUUAAGUGGUUCUGUAGUUGAAGACUGAGCUUGACACUUCUCAAAAUAAGUAGGUGAAUCCUCUGUCUAUUCUAAUACUGCUUUUGUCAGUAAACUCAUUCCAGUGUCUGUACAACACCUCAGUCCCCAUUAUGUUUGCCUGUACUUGCACUGUUAGUGUAAUCUAACCUUUUAUGAUGGGAAGACACUUUAGACUGUCACAAUUGUUAAAGUGACUGUAGUCCAGUGGCUUUCAAACUUUUUUUCUGGCGACCCAGUUGAAGAAAAUUGAUGCCUACGACCCAACGGAGCUGGGGAUGAGGUGUUUGGGCAUGAGGGAGCUUAGGGCUGGGGCAGAGGG